rnacentral:rRNA from 1 species
GUCGAGAAUAAUUCACAAUGGGGGAAACCCUGAUGGUGCAACGCCGCGUGGAGGAUGAAGGUCUUCGGAUUGUAAACUCCUGUCAUCUGGGAGUAAGACCUGACGGUGAAUAGCCGGCAGGGUUGAUAGUACCAGAAGAGGAAGGGACGGCUAACUUCGUGCCAGCAGCCGCGGUAAUACGAAGGUCCCAAGCGUUGUUCGGAAUCACUGGGCGUAAAGGGAGCGUAGGCGGCGUGGUAAGUCAGAUGUGAAAUCCCGGGGCUCAACCCCGGAACUGCAUCCGAUACUGCCAUGCUUGAGGGUUGGAGAGGUAGCUGGAAUUCUCGGUGUAGCAGUGAAAUGCGUGGAUAUCGAGAGGAACACUCGUGGCGAAGGCGAGUUACUGGACAGCAUCUGACGCUGAGGCACGAAGGCCAGGGGAGCGAAAGGGAUUAGAUACCCUGGUAGUCC